CCGCCUGCCCUGUGACUAUAUGUUUAACGGCCGCGGUAUCUUAACCGUGCGAAGGUAGCGUAAUCACUUGUCUUUUAAAUGAAGACCUGUAUGAAUGGCAUCACGAGGGCUUAGCUGUCUCCCUUCUCCAGUCAAUGAAAUUGACCUCCCCGUGCAGAGGCGGGGAUGUUUCUAUAAGACGAGAAGACCCUGUGGAGCUUUAGACCUAAAGUAAACCACGUUUAAUGUACUAAAAUUAAAAGCAUAAACUUAGUGGACAUUUAUUUAAGUGUCUUUGGUUGGGGCGACCGCGGAGUAAAACAUAACCUCCAUGUGGACGGGGAUACUAUCCCUAAAACUCAGAGCCUCCACUCGAAGCAACAGAAAUUCUGACCUUACUGAUCCGGUACAACCGAUUAACGAACCCAGUUACCCCAGGGAUAACAGCGCAAUCCCCUCUCAGAGCUCAUAUCGACGAGGGGGUUUACGACCUCGAUGUUGGAUCAGGACAUCCUAGUGGUGCAGCCGCUAUUG
rnacentral:rRNA from 1 species